GAUGAACGCUGGCGGCGUGCCUAAUACAUGCAAGUCGAGCGAACAGACGAGGAGCUUGCUCCUCUGACGUUAGCGGCGGACGGGUGAGUAACACGUGGAUAACCUACCUAUAAGACUGGGAUAACUUCGGGAAACCGGAGCUAAUCCCGGAUAAUAUAUUGAACCGCAUGGUUCAAUAGUGAAAGACGGUUUUGCUGUCACUUAUAGAUGGAUCCGCGCCGCAUUAGCUAGUUGGUAAGGUAACGGAUUACCAAGGCAACGAUGCGUAGCCGACCUGAGAGGGUGAUCGGCCACACUGGAACUGAGACACGGUCCAGACUCCUACGGGAGGCAGCAGUAGGGAAUCUUCCGCAAUGGGCGAAAGCCUGACGGAGCAACGCCGCGUGAGGGAUGAAGGUCUUCGGAUCGUAAAACUCUGUUAUUAGGGAAGAACAAAUGUGUAAGUAACUAUGCACGUCUUGACGGUACCUAAUCAGAAAGCCACGGCUAACUACGUG
rnacentral:rRNA from 1 species